rnacentral:rRNA from 1 species
UACGUAGGUGGCAAGCGUUGUCCGGAUUUACUGGGCGUAAAGAGCGCGCAGGCGGCCGAUCAAGUCGCGUGUGAAAGCCCCCGGCUCAACUGGGGAGGGUCACGCGAUACUGAUCGACUCGAAGGCAGGAGAGGGUAGUGGAAUUCCCCGGUGUAGUGGUGAAAUGCGUAGAUAUCAGGAGGAACACCGGUGGCGAAGGCGGGUCUCUGGGCCGUAACUGACGCUGAGGAGCGAAAGCGUGGGGAGCGAACAGG